UACAGAGGGGGCAAGCGUUGUUCGGAAUUACUGGGCGUAAAGGGCGCGUAGGCGGCCUGCUAAGUCGAACGUGAAAUCCCGGGGCUCAACCCAGGAACUGCGUCCGAUACUGGUUGGCUUGAAUCCGGGAGAGGGAUGUGGAAUUCCAGGUGUAGCGGUGAAAUGCGUAGAUAUCUGGAGGAACACCGGUGGCGAAGGCGGCAGCCUGGACCGGUAUUGACGCUGAGGCGCGAAAGCCAGGGGAGCAAACGGG
rnacentral:rRNA from 1 species